rnacentral:misc_RNA from 1 species
AAGGUUUCCGUCGAGCUCUUUUCACAAAGAGUUUCGACGGCCAAAGAUCAACCACUGUGCGCACAUAUUGAAAAAAUUAAAUGCUUUGGUGGGUUGCCUUCAAUUCUUUGGAGGUGUCUGCCAAGAGUAUUUACCCCAAAAAUCAGCCUUAUUUUUCGACUGAAAUUUUUUAAAUAAAAUUUAAUA